rnacentral:rRNA from 1 species
CCCUGGCUCAGGACGAACGCGGGCGGCGUGCCUAAUACAUGCAAGUCGAGCGGAGUUGAUGAGAAGCUUGCUUCUCUGAUACUUAGCGGCGGACGGGUGAGUAACACGUAGGUAACCUGCCUAUAAGACUGGGAUAACAUUCGGAAACGGAUGCUAAUACCGGAUAUGCAUUUUGAUCGCAUGAUCGGAAUGGGAAAGACGGAGCAAUCUGUCACUUAUAGAUGGACCUGCGGCGCAUUAGCUAGUUGGUGAGGUAAUGGCUCACCAAGGCGACGAUGCGUAGCCGACCUGAGAGGGUGAUCGGCCACACUGGGACUGAGACACGGCCCAGACUCCUACGGGAGGCAGCAGUAGGGAAUCUUCCGCAAUGGACGAAAGUCUGACGGAGCAACGCCGCGUGAGUGAUGAAGGUUUUCGGAUCGUAAAGCUCUGUUGCCAGGGAAGAACGCUAUGGAGAGUAACUGCUCCAUAGGUGACGGUACCUGAGAAGAAAGCCCCGG